rnacentral:rRNA from 1 species
CAAAAACAUCGCCUCUUGCCCAAUUAUAAGAGGUCCAGCCUGCCCAGUGACUUUGUUCAACGGCCGCGGUAUCCUAACCGUGCGAAGGUAGCGUAAUCACUUGUUCUUUAAAUGAGGACUAGUAUGAAUGGCCUCACGAGGGCUGCACUGUCUCCUUUUUCUAAUCAAUGAAACUAAUCUCCCCGUGAAGAAGCGGGGAUAAUCCUAUAAGACGAGAAGACCCUAUGGAGCUUUAAACAACUGAAACAUUUGCUUUUUCCUUAACAUCUCCUGAGCUCUUUACUUUAUCUAAGCAUUUUUAUUUCUAGUUUUAGGUUGGGGUGACCACGGAGCAAAACUUAACCUCCAUGAAGAAAUGAAUAUUUUUAAGCCACAAACUACUUUUUUAAGCAUCAACAAAUUGACCUUCAUUGACCCAAUAUAUUGAUCAACGAACCAAGUUACCCUAGGGAUAACAGCGCAAUCUACUUCAAGAGCUCAUAUCGACAAGUAGGUUUACGACCUCGAUGUUGGAUCAGGGUAUCCUAGUGGUGCAGCCGCUACUAAUGGUUCGUUUGUUCAACGAUUAAAACCCUACGUGAUCU